GAGGACGUUGUCUAAUGGUAAGAUGCAAGCUUCCAAACCUUGCGAUGCGGGUUCGAUUCCUGCCGUCCUUG
rnacentral:tRNA from 1 species